rnacentral:lncRNA from 12 species
CUGCUUUUUUAAAAUAUAAGCUUAUAUAAUUUGAAACUUUUCUUCUUUUCUAUAUAACUAUUUUUUAAAAUAUUUUAUUUAUUUAUUCAUGAGAGACACAGAGAGACAGAGCAAGAGAGGCAGAGACACAGGCAGAGGGAGAAGCAGGCUCCAUGCAGGGAGCCUGAUAUGGGACUCGAUCCUGGGACUCAAGGAUCAUGCCCUGGGCUGAAGGCAGCGCUAAACCACUGAGCCACCCAGGCUGCCCCAUCCCACACAUUUUGAUGGGUUGUUUUCUCUUACAGCUCUUGCUGUUUAUCCUUGUUGCCCAGUUCCACAAUGGAGGCUACACUUGGCUCAAAGAAUUAGCAGCUGGGACUCGAAGAAGACAUGGAAGAUCAAGGGUCCACACAUGGUUAUUUCAAGAUUUUAUUUACUUAUUUUGAGAGAGAAAGAGAGACAGAGAAAACAAGCAAGAGGGAAGAGCAGAGGGAGAAGGAGAAGCAGGGAGCCCGAUGGAUGUGGGGCUCGAUUCCAGGACCCUGGAACCAUAACCUGAGCCGAAGGCAGACACCUAACUGACACCCAGGCACCCCAAGGAGGUACACAUUCUAACAAGAGUCAGAAAUAAUUAGAGCCAGACAGCUUUGAAGGCUUCAUAAGAGGUAAGCUGUCUUUGCUCAACUGUUACAUGUUCAUUGAACAAUUUGACCUGAAAGACACAGGAACAUCAAACAAGAUUAUUUCUUUU